AUAAAAGGACGGAAAUUCUCAGUGCAUGGUAACUUUUUCUACCAUAUGUAAAGAACUAAAGCCACACAGGGAAAUUCGAGUUACCUGCUCUUGUUUAUUUAAAACUUUAAAUAACCGUUCAUUAAUCUUAAAAAUAAUUAUCAUAUAUUAUUUCCGUUCAAGUAGGAGCUGAACUUUACUUCCUAUUAUAUGAAGACAGAGGAUAAAACUUGCUUAUAAGAAAGGCGCGAUAAAGAAAUAGUAAAAGAAAAAGUCAGAAAGACAGAGAUCAAAACUUGCUUAGAAAGGCGAUAAAGAAAUAGUAAAAGAAAAAGUCAGCAAACGACGAACGCAAUUUUGUAGGAAAAUGUCGAUAUCUGGUGAAAUAGCAGGUUAUACGCUACUACACAUACUUGACGUUUUAUAUCCACUAAUAAUUGGUUAUCAGGCACUACAGAUCGUGGUAGUCGUGUGUUGUGUGACGCAAUUGGUCAUUGUAAAACAGAAUGAUGCUCAACAGCCUACAAAUUUCUUCGCUCGGCUUAAGACAAAAGUAUUUUCCACAAAAGAAGACAUCAUGAAAAGAAAUUUUGAAAAAUUGAAGGUUCAGCGAAAUGUGUUUGGAUUGGUAGCAUCAUUCGUCAUAGUUGAAAUUUAUCUUUUAUACCAACUGUACUCUUAUUUUGUUAUUGGGACUUCAAUUUUUCUGAUUGGGUAUCUAGCUUAUAUCACAAUUUUGAGCAUUCGCCUUAUGAUGUCGAAUUCAAUCAGAGAAUCGAAUAAGUCCGAUGAGAAACCAGCAAUACGAAAAAAGGAAGCAGAACAAUUUAUGAAAGAUUUGCACGGAGCGGGCCAGACAUUACGUUUAGCAAUUGGAGUUCUAAUAGCUAACAUAGUGACUUCAGGUGAUCUUCUAAACUCAACUUUACAGUCUAUUAUUAUUUCAUUUUUCCUGGUUUUGUGGAUUUUGGAUUUUAAUAAGAAAUAGGGCAAAUCAGUGAUACAUUAAUGAGACAGAGGAUGUUAGAGUUUGAUUUAUUUGCUUAGUUAUUAAUAUAUUACAAAUUAACUUUAAGGAUAAAAUGUAUAUGAAAUGAGAAUUUGAAAUUGAAAGUGAUGUGCUCUUUAUACUGAAACUAAGUUUGUAAAUUUAAAAUUAGACAAUCAUACAAUAUUUGCUAAAAAUCACUCGGGACUUCCUGUUUACAACAUUUUUAUGUCUUCAGAUAAAAGUCAGACAAAAUAUUGUAUUGGGUAAUGAGACGAAAGUUAUAAAUAGGACAAAAAACUUCAAAAAUAGAAAAAGGCAAAGAGUACUACAUCAUGUCAUAAAUAGAAAUACCACUAAAAUAUGUUUGAAUACUUAUAAAAACAUCGUCUUUACUUUCAAUUUUAUACAUUUGAUUGCUGAUACGUUUCUUUGAAAUACUAUAUUUGUAUACUUUCUAGUUGUUUAAUUGCGGUGUAUUUAUUUAUAUUGAGAUUAUUAAUAAAUUGUUUGACUAUGUAAA